rnacentral:rRNA from 1 species
AGUGAACGCUGGCGGUAGGCCUAACACAUGCAAGUCGAACGGCAGCACAGUAAGAGCUUGCUCUUACGGGUGGCGAGUGGCGGACGGGUGAGGAAUACAUCGGAAUCUACUUUUUCGUGGGGGAUAACGUAGGGAAACUUACGCUAAUACCGCAUACGACCUACGGGUGAAAGCAGGGGAUCUUCGGACCUUGCGCGACUGAAUGAGCCGAUGUCGGAUUAGCUAGUUGGCGGGGUAAAGGCCCACCAAGGCGACGAUCCGUAGCUGGUCUGAGAGGAUGAUCAGCCACACUGGAACUGAGACACGGUCCAGACUCCUACGGGAGGCAGCAGUGGGGAAUAUUGGACAAUGGGCGCAAGCCUGAUCCAGCCAUGCCGCGUGGGUGAAGAAGGCCUUCGGGUUGUAAAGCCCUUUUGUUGGGAAAGAAAAGCAGCAGGUUAAUACCCCGCUGUUCUGACGGUACCCGAAGAAUAAGCACCGGCUAACUUCGUG